GAAAUAUUCGUGGUGCAAACUUUUGUUAUAAAUAGAAGUCAGUCUGAUAAGAAAUAAAUGACAAAAAAUUAAGACAAUAGUAGUGUACCGCUGUUCAAUUGUCAUAAAUCGAUUUAACUCAAACAAAUCCAUGUCAAAAACCAAAACUGAGAGAAAGACAUCUAUAAAGACAACUAUAAGAGGAAACAAAACGGAACAACAAAAGCACUGAACUGCUACAAAAACAAACGCCAACAUACAUAGGAACGGACUAUCUGAUAACAACUGCCAUAUCCCUGACUCGGUACAGGACAUUUAAAAAAAAGUGGGUUGAACCACUUAUAUGACAAUGUUAAAAAAUACCGCUAAAAUGACAACAUUACGUGAGACAAAUAAAUGCAAGAACAUUCAGGACAGAGAAAUACAUAAAUAAAUAAUAUUACAGUUCAUUUCAACAUGUAAACCAC
rnacentral:lncRNA from 1 species